rnacentral:rRNA from 1 species
CCUACGGGAGGCAGCAGUGAGGAAUAUUGGACAAUGGGCGCAAGCCUGAUCCAGCCAUGCCGCGUGCAGGAAGACGGUCCUAUGGAUUGUAAACUGCUUUUAUACAGGAAGAAACACCUCUACGUGUAGAGACUUGACGGUACUGUAUGAAUAAGCAUCGGCUAACUCCGUGCCAGCAGCCGCGGUAAUACGGAGGAUGCAAGCGUUAUCCGGAAUCAUUGGGUUUAAAGGGUCCGUAGGCGGUUUAAUAAGUCAGUGGUGAAAGCCCAUCGCUCAACGAUGGAACGGCCAUUGAUACUGUUAAACUUGAAUUAUUAGGAAGUAACUAGAAUAUGUAGUGUAGCGGUGAAAUGCUUAGAGAUUACAUGGAAUACCAAUUGCGAAGGCAGGUUACUACUAAUAUAUUGACGCUGAUGGACGAAAGCGUGGGGAGCGAACAGGAUUAGAUACCCUGGUAGUCCACGCCGUAAACGAUGGAUACUAGCUGUUCGGAGCAAAUCUGAGUGGCUAAGCGAAAGUGAUAAGUAUCCCACCUGGGGAGUACGUUCGCAAGAAGAGAAGACGAAAGAAAGUAGACGACGUGAGAGACGACCGAACGGACGACGACGAGGGGAGGGAGGGAG